rnacentral:rRNA from 1 species
AGAGUUUGAUCCUGGCUCAGGAUGAACGCUAGCGAUAGGCCUAACACAUGCAAGUCGAGGGGCAGCACAUGAAGUAGCAAUACAGAUGGUGGCGACCGGCGCACGGGUGAGUAACACGUAUGCAACCUACCUUCCACAGGAGAAUAACCCGUUGAAAAACGGACUAAUACUCCAUAAUACAGGGGUCCCGCAUGGGAAUAUUUGUUAAAGAUUUUUUUCGGUAGAAGAUGGGCAUGCGUUCCAUUAGCUAGUUGGUUGAGGUAACGGCUCACCAAGGCAACGAUGGAUAGGGGAACUGAGAGGUUUAUCCCCCACACUGGUACUGAGACACGGACCAGACUCCUACGGGAGGCAGCAGUGAGGAAUAUUGGUCAAUGGAGGCAACUCUGAACCAGCCACGUCGCGUGAAGGAUGACGGCCCUACGGGUUGUAAACUUCCUUUAUACAGGAAUAAAGUGAGUCACGUGUGACUUUUUGCAUGUACUGUAUGAAUAAGGAUCGGCUAACUCCGUGCCAGCAGCCGCGGUAAUACGGAGGAUCCAAGCGUUAUCCGGAUUUAUUGGGUUUAAAGGGUGCGCAGGCGGAAGAUUAAGUCGGCGGUGAAAUUUUGCAGCUCAACUGUAAAAGUGCCAUCGAUACUGGUUUUCUUGAGUGUGGAUGAAGUAGGCGGAAUUUGUGGUGUAGCGGUGAAAUGCAUAGAUAUCACGAGGAACUCCGAUUGCGCAGGCAGCUUACUAGGCCAUAACUGACGCUCAGGCACGAAGGCGUGGGGAUCAAACAGGAUUAGAUACCCUGGUAGUCCACGCAGUAAACGAUGAUUACUCGCUGUUUGCGAUACACAGUAAGCGGCUUAGCGAAAGCGUUAAGUAAUCCACCUGGGGAGUACGUUCGCAAGAAUGAAACUCAAGGAAUUGACGG